GCGGGGGUACCCGAGCUGGCCAAAGGGGCAGGGCUUAGGACCCUGUGCUUAGUGCUUCGUGCGUUCGAAUCGCACCCCCCGCA
rnacentral:tRNA from 1 species